rnacentral:lncRNA from 1 species
AUCGUAGCCAUUGAAUAGGGUCUUGCUUGCCAUCAUACUUGGUGAUUCCUGUUGGAUUGAACUUAUCAGGUAGUCUUGUCUUCAUUACCCAAUUUGUGAAAGCAGGAAAGUGGUUGUAGUUGUCGACUUCUCGCUCGCGCCGACUGUUGAGUAUUUCUCGUAGAUCACUGAAGUUUGACACUUUGUGGUUCUUCCAAGUAGGGUGAAUACUUUUUACCGAGUUGGUGCAGCUGGC